CCUACGGGCGGCAGCAGUGAGGAAUAUUGGUCAAUGGGCGGAAGCCUGAACCAGCCAAGUCGCGUGAGGGAAUAAGGCCCUACGGGUCGUAAACCUCUUUUGCCGGGGAGCAAGGGCGGGGACGUGUCCCGGCCCGGAGAGUACCCGGAGAAAAAGCAUCGGCUAACUCCGUGCCAGCAGCCGCGGUAAUACGGAGGAUGCGAGCGUUAUCCGGAUUUAUUGGGUUUAAAGGGUGCGUAGGCGGUCGGAUAAGUUAGAGGUGAAAUCCCGAGGCUCAACUUCGGAAUUGCCUCUGAUACUGUUCGGCUAGAGAGUAGUUGCGGUAGGCGGAAUGUAUGGUGUAGCGGUGAAAUGCUUAGAGAUCAUACAGAACACCGAUUGCGAAGGCAGCUUACCAAGCUACUUCUGACGUUGAGGCACGAAAGCGUGGGGAGCAAACAGGAUUAGAUACCCGAGUAGUC
rnacentral:rRNA from 1 species